UGCAGGGGGAGCUGGAGCUUAUUCCAAUGAUCAUCGCGCGGGAGACAGGAUACACCCUGGACAGAGCAACAGGCCUGCUCUGUAUGUGUUAUCACCACAACUCAUGAGGGGUUUCUACUCAGUGUCUCGAUGAUGAUGUUGAUCCUGAUGGUGAUGGUGAUGCAAAUUUAACUCAAGGCAAAGCGGAGAUGGAGAACAGAGUGAGCCUCAGUGCUGCCACCUAGCAGACAGAAUUGGUGGUGAUAGAAAACCCGCUGGAGUUGUACCGAGUGGAAGUGGAGGUGCUGGAUGUGAACGACAAC